AUUUUUUUCUUCUUCACUUUCUGGAGAUUAUCUCUUGCUGAUUCUUUUCUUCUUCUUUUUGUUGCAGGGAUUAAAAUAAUCAAAGUAGGAGCUUGAGAUUAAAUUCUGCCCUUUCUGUCGCUCAAAUACAACUUUUAAGUAGACGUUCUGUCAGGUAUCAAUCAAUAGGAUUUUUUUUGAUUGAUCAAUUCAAGAAUUUAUUUGAAAAUUCUAAACAAAUCUUGAAUGUUUGAUAUUUUUUUUUUUUGUAUGUUAUUAUUAGUAACACAUAGAAAUAUUGUAAUAGAUCUCUGUACUGUUAUUAACUUAUUAUCUAUCAUGCUAUAAUUAUUCUGUUUCAAUGCUUUUUAAUUAAUAUGUUGUCUUCAAUGUGCAGGCAUUUGUGAGUGGUCUAAUCAAACAUUUUUCAGUAGCACCUACACCAGAAAUCAAAUCAGAAGGUGUGUGAGCUUGGAUUUACUGUCGGAAUUUUGUGUCCAUUUUUGUUAGUGGGUUCCUUUUAACUAAAUUUUUUCUUAAAUUUGUUGCUCAUGUUGAUCAUGGGACAACCACUCUCGUGGAUGCUAUGUUAAGGCAUUCCAAGGUACAUGUUCUUGGGGUCUUGCUGAGGACUAAUUUGUCGUAAUUUAUUAGUAAUUUAUAGUCGAAUGUUGUAGCUUAGUUUCAAUAUUUGUUUUUCGAGAGUAAGUUAUGUAUGAGAGGCUCCGAGUAGAAAGGUAUUAUGUGAAUGUGGAAUGAUGAAUGUUGC
rnacentral:lncRNA from 1 species